rnacentral:lncRNA from 1 species
AACCUCCGCCUCCCGGUUCAAGUGAUUCUCCUGCCUCAGUCUCCCAUGGUUUUGUUUUUAUUUGACAUCCUCCAUCUCUGGUUUGCAAGUCUGGGCAUGCUGCCUGAUGGGCAGGUACCACCGUCCACCACCAGGCUUUGCUUUCUUUACUCUUGAAUAAGGCGGGGACACAGGUUCCAUUGUGUAAUGGUUGGCACUCUGGACUCUGAGUCCAGAGAUGGGGAUACAGGCAUUCAUUUCUAGCUCAUGGGUUUCUGGUGCAAGGGUUUCAUGAAGCCAUCACAAUUGAAAACAGAGGAAAGCGACAGCCCUGUCCUGGAAGCUGUUCAUUUGUUCCACUGUCUGAUUUCCAUUGGCCCCACCCCGACUUCUUCUGGGCUCGAGGCUCUUGGGAGAAAGCUUGUCCUUCUGCCCAGUGGGGCAGAGCGCAGGCUUCUCCUCCCACUGAUCUCCUCAAGGACAGCUCAUCUCUGGAGGAAGUGACUCCUCCCAGGCAGGUGGAGGUCAUUUCCCUCCUAAGUCAUUUUAGCAACAAAUGGGCAGAUCAGACCUAUCAUUCCAGUCAACUCAGAAGCUUUGCACAGCCUGGGAGCAGAAGAGCCUCCUGGCUCACCUGAAGUUCCUCUUCCCCAGCUAGGCAACACCCUCUUUGGUGCAGCCCUGGCCACUCCCCUUGCCAGCCUUCUAGGGAUCGCUGCGCACAUAGAGCUCUGCUUACAAAGGGCUUUAGGCUGUCCUAUGCCACCCAAAUUUAAUUGCAAACACAUACAAUGACUACUUUCCCCAACCAUUUGGACAAAGUCUAGUUUUUAAACCUGAGUUAAUGUUGCUUUUUCUACUUCCCAAAGCCUCUCACACUAUGCUAUCUCACUGACCCAGCAAAGUCUUCUCUUUCUCUGACCACACAAUCCUUUUCACGGGAACACAAGGACAUAGACAAACACUUCAUGGUGGAAAACCUUCCUGGAGUGAGUCAGCCAGCCCUGAGGAUGGUGACUCCUACAGGACAACCAGGGACAAUCAUCUUCACAGGAACCUAUCCUCCCUGCUGGGUGGAAAGAGCAUCGACCUGAGUCCAAUCAGCUACUUACAGGUCAACUAAGAAGAGGACUGAGAGUUAACCAUUGGAUUGAGCAACAUCAAGACCACCUGGAUAUUGGCCAAUGGUUUUACCCUGACCAUCUGCCCAGAGGGAUGGUAAGAGAGAAAGGCAGGACAGAAAUGAAAGGACAGUGAGAAUACACACCACUUUCAUGAAAUUUUGUUGUGAAAAGAAAGGAAGAGGCCCGGCAUGGUGGCUCACAUCUGUAAUCCCAG